AAUAAAACUAAGUUUGGGGUGGAAAUCUUGAAAGAGAAGGCAAGUGCAUAAGAUGAGAUCAUACAAAAAGAAAAAUAGUAUGUAUUUUCUUUAAAAGAAAAAAAAAGAGAAAAAAAAGAAAAAAAAGAAAAGAAAAACAAAAGAGAAAAAUGCACUUGCCGAGACCUUAGAUUCUAACAGAUAUAAAAUGCUCGGAAAAUUUGAGUAGAAAAAGAGUCAAAAGAGUGAAAUUAACCCCCGGAGUAUAUGUGAUGCACAGAAAAAAAGAGAAAGAAAAAUCACACAACAUGACUACCGAGUUCAAAACCCUUUGUUAUCCAAUUUUUUUGUUUAUCCCACCGUACCCAAGCCCUGUUACAACCUAAAAAGACCUCAAAAAGUGUGUGGAAUCUGCUGUGGUAGUGACAUUAGAAUGUAUUCAAAGUUAAGAGUUUG
rnacentral:lncRNA from 1 species